rnacentral:rRNA from 1 species
CAGAGGGUGCAAACGUUGUUCGGAUUUACUGGGCGUAAAGCGCGUGUAGGUGGCUUUGCAAGUCGGAUGUGAAAUCCCACGGCUCAACCGUGGAAGUGCAUCCGAAACUGCAUCGCUGGAGUCUCGGAGAGGAAGGUGGAAUGCUUGGUGUAGAGGUGAAAUUCGUAGAUAUCAAGCAGAACACCUGCGGCGAAGGCGGCCUUCUGGACGAUGACUGACGCUGAGACGCGAAAGCGUGGGGAGCAAACAGGAUUAGAUACCCUGGUAGUCCACGCCGUAAACGAUGAGUGCUAGGUGUCACGGGCUUUGACCCUCGUGGUGCCGUAGCUAACGCAAUAAGCACUCCGCCUGGGGAGUACGGCCGCAAGGCUA